rnacentral:rRNA from 1 species
GCCGCCGCGGUAAUACGUAUGGGGCAAGCGUUGUCCGCAUUUACUGGGCGUAAAGGGCGCGUAGGCGGUUUGUUAAGUCGAAGGUGAAACUCCUCGGGCUCAACUCGAGAAUUGCCUUCGAUACUGGCAAACUAGAGUGGCGGAGAGGAAAGCGGAACUCUUGGUGUAACGGUGGAAUGUGUAUAUAUCAAGAGGAACACCGGUGGCGAACGCGGCUUUCUGGACGCACACUGACGCUCAGGCGCGAAAGCGUGGGUAGCAAACAGGAUUAGAUACCCUGGUAGUCCACGCCAUAAACGAUGGGUACUAGGUGUCGGGGGUAUCGACCCCUCCGGAGCCGCAGUUAACGCACUAAGUACCCCGCCUGGGGAUUAUGGUCGCAAGGGUGACACUCAAAGGAAUUGACGGGGCCCCGCACAAGCGGUGGAUCAUGUGCCUUAAUUCGACGCAACGCGAAGAACCUUACCUGGGCUUGACAUGCUUGGGACAAGCGCUGGAAACAGCGGCUCUCCCUCGGGGAGCCCUUGCACAGGUGCUGCAUGGCUGUCGUCAGCUCGUGUCGUGAGAUGUGGGUUAAGUCCCCGCAACGAGCGCAACCCUCGUUACUAGUUGCCAUCAGUUCGGCUGGGCACUCUAGUGAGACUGCCGGUGAUAAACCGGAGGAAGGUGAGGAUGAUGUCAAGUCAUCAUGGCCCUUACGCCCAGGGCUACACACGUGCUACAAUGGUCGGCACAAAGGGUCGCUAAGCCGCGAGGUGGAGCUAAUCCCAAAAAGCCGGCCUCAGUUCGGAUUGGAGUCUGCAACCCGACUCCAUGAAGGCGGAAUCGCUAGUAAUCGCGGAUCAGCAUGCCGCGGUGAAUAUGUUCCCGGGGC